GAGAAGAUCUCCACAGCCACCAUAUAUUUUCCCUUGGUGCUCAGAUAGGAAGGAAUAAAGGACAGCCAAACACUGCAGAAGACCAACAUGCUGAAAGUGAUAAACUUGGCUUCAUUGAAACUGUCUGGUAAUUUCCUGGCAAGGAAAGCCAUAACAAAACUCACAGUUGCCAGGCAGCUCAUGUAGAUGAGGACACAGUAAAACAUUGCCACACUCCCCUCGUUACAUUCGAGUAUAAUUUCUUCCAUCACAGAGUGCAUGUCCACAUCUGGGUAUGGGGGAGAGGUUGCCAGCCACACAGUGCAUAUUCCUGCUUGAACAAUGGAGCCGGAAAGGAGAAUGGAGUGGCCUAGUCCUUUCCCCACCCAUUUCCUCAUCCUGGAUUCUGGUUUUGUAGCCAUGAAGGCCAAAACCACCGUGAAGGUUUUUGCCAGGACACAAGAAACAGCGGUUGAGAAGAUGAUACCAAAAGCUGUUUGUCGGAGGAGGCACGUGACCUUCUCAGGUUGGCCAAUGAAGAGCAAUGCACACAGGAAGCAGAGCAGGAGAGAGAUGAGCAGAGCGUAGGUGAGGUUUCGGUUGUUUGCAAUGACAAUGGGCGUGUCAUGGUGUUUUAUAAAUGUACUUAGUACCAGAGCUGUGAUCAAGGAAAGGGAAAGAGAGAAACAGGCUAAACUGAUGCCCAAAGGUUCUUCAUAAGACAAGAAGCUGAUAUCCUUGGGUAGACAUGCAUUCCGGUUCUUGCUUGGAUAUUCUUUGUCUGGGCAUUUAUGACAGUCAUUCAUAUCUGGAAAAAAAUAAGGAAGUGACCUUUAGUUCAUAUCACGUCAGCUUCCUGAAAUGUUGACUUUCUGUUUGAGAAGAAAAGAGCUCUGCUCAAAUUAAAUCACAUUUAAUACUGUCUGAUGCUCUGUAACGUGGUAUUGUUGCAUUUAAUCGGUUCAGAGAUAUUGGUCUGUAAAUUGCAGAGCCAGGGCUAUUCCUCCUCAUGAUUUUGGAACAUAUCAUCACACUAGCCUGGGUGUAACUUGUGUAAGUCAAAAGGAAUGAAAAGCCCCUUCUAGGUUUGAUUUGAACCACAUACCAUCCAACUACUCUCAAUGCAGAGUCAUUCUCAUUAGAUUAACAUAUUUAGAUUAUCUGAAGGGCAAUGAUCACAAAGAAGCAGGAUCUCACACACAGUAGAUCAUCUCCUCUUUUGAAAAUUAAGUCAUCCGUCCUUACAGCACCUUUCAAUGCUUAGUACUGAGUCUGGAUCUAUUUAACUAUUUAUUUCUCUUACCAUCCUGGUUUGCAAUCUUCCCCUCAGCACAUGGGAUGCAAUCGUAGCAGCAAGGGGGCUGUCCCUCCUUCACUUUCUUGCUGAAUCCUGGAAGACAUCUCUCAGUACAGACAGAAAGAGGUUGACUCUAUUCCAUAAAUGAAACAGC